rnacentral:rRNA from 1 species
GAUGAACGCUGGCGGCGUGCCUAAUACAUGCAAGUCGAGCGAACAGACGAGGAGCUUGCUCCUCUGCCGUUAGCGGCGGACGGGUGAGUAACACGUGGAUAACCUACCUAUAAGACUGGGAUAACUUCGGGAAACCGGAGCUAAUACCGGAUAAUAUAUUGAACCGCAUGGUUCAAUAGUGAAAGACGGUUUUGCUGUCACUUAUAGAUGGAUUCGCGCCGCAUUAGCUAGUUGGUAAGGUAACGGCUUACCAAGGCAACGAUGCGUAGCCGACCUGAGAGGGUGAUCGGCCACACGGGAACUGAGACACGGUCCAGACUCCUACGGGAGGCAGCAGUAGGGAAUCUGCCGCAAUGGGCGAAAGCCUGACGGAGCAACGCCGCGUGAGUGAUGAAGGUCUUCGGAUCGUAAAACUCUGUUAUUAGGGAAGAACAAAUGUGUAAGUAACUAUGCACGUCUUGACGGUACCUAAUCAGAAAGCCACGGCUAACUACGUG